CACAAUCUUUACACGAUGCCAUUUGGGACAAACACCCUCAUGCUUUUGUUUUUCUCUUCCCUGUAAGAUGUCUUCUUAACUCGAAUACAUUAGUUCACACUCAGGAAUAAAUUCCAUAACAUAUUCAUAAACGUUUCUGAGGAAGACAUUUCUUUUGAAGUAGUCGACGGGGCGUAAAUGAGCGAGCCAACGAACAAAGGAAAAGUAAGGCCGAAGCUUCUUGCGGUUCAAUGCUAUUUAUAAACUUUUAAAACAAUUAAAAUUUAAAACUAAACCGAAUACCACGCCGCUUUGGCAGUGAUACGCUUUACAUAACUAUUUAUUUUUAGCCCCAUUAGCAACGUAACUUAAGGUUAGCCGCGACUUAGCUUGCGAGCUAACUGCUAACUUUAGUACAGUUUGGAUUUGAAUAAAGUUUCCUUUAGCGACUUAAAAAUGGCCGAAGUGUACAUUCGUGUGGCGGAGGAGGAAAACGAGGAGCCCAUGGAGAUGCCGUCCGAGGACGACGGUACCGUUCUUCUGUCCACGGUGUCGGCUCAGUUUCCAGGCGCGUGCGGCCUGCGCUUCAGGAGCCCCGUGUCACAGUGCAUGAGGGGCGUGCGUCUGGUGGAGGGGGUGCUGCACGCGCCCGAGACCGGAUGGGGCAACAUGGUCUUUGUGGUCAACUACCCAAAAGACAACAAGAGGAAGAUGGAUGAAAUUGACGCUUCCUCUGCUGUGAAAAUGAAGAGAGGAGAUAUGAAGACAUCUGAUCUAAUCGUACUGGGUCUUCCUUGGAAAACUUCAGAGCAGGACUUGAAAGACUAUUUUGGCACCUUUGGAGAGGUAAUCAUGGUUCAGGUAAAACAAGAUGCCAAGACUGGAAAUUCAAAGGGAUUCGGGUUUGUGAGGUUCAGAGAGUACGAGGCUCAAGAUAAGGUGGUCUCCCAGCGCCAUAUGAUUGACGGAAGAUGGUGUGACUGCAAGCUGCCUAACUCGAAGCAAAGUCCAGACGAGCCACUGAGGAGCCGCAAAGUGUUUGUAGGUCGUUGUACAGAAGAUAUGACCACUGAUGACCUACGGCAGUUUUUUGUGCAGUAUGGUGAAGUCACAGAUGUCUUCAUUCCAAAGCCUUUCCGUGCUUUUGCUUUUGUCACAUUUGCUGAUGAUCAGGUUGCCCAGUCUCUCUGUGGCGAGGACCUGAUUGUCAAAGGAGUCAGUGUUCAUAUCUCUAAUGCUGAGCCUAAACAUGGGAGCAGACAAUAUGACCGUGCAGCUAGGUUUGGGAAUGGUUUUGGAGCUCAGGCCUUUGGUAGUAACCGUAGCGUGUUGGGAAGCAACACUAAUAGUAACCUUGCCAAUUUUGGUUCUUUCAGUCUGAACCCCGCUAUGAUGGCUGCUGCUCAAGCUGCUCUGCAGAGUAGUUGGGGGAUGAUGGGUAUGUUAGCUAGUCAGCAGCAAACAUCCACCUCAGGCAGCACUUCUACUGGAACAAGUUCUAGCAGGGAUCAGAGUCAGUCCUUCACUACAGGCAGCAGUAACUAUGGCACCAACUCAGCCAGUCUUGGCUGGGGAGCAGGAGCAAAUUCUGCAGCUGGUGGUAGUGGGUUUAGUUCAGGGUUUGGUUCUAGUAUGGAGUCGAAGUCAUCUGGGUGGGGUAUGUAAAUGAAAGGUUUUGUGUGGUAAGUAUUUUGAGAAAGGAUUCUUUUCCAAAAGUAUCUGACUACACUUUUGUGGAACAUGUUUUGUACAUGAAAAAUGUGCUAGAGCUAAUUUAGAAAAUGUUAGUGGAUUGUUUGAAAGAAUGUGAGUAAAGUGCUAUUUUUCCUCAUUUGAUGUAUUAAAUUCAACUGGAUUCUCUAAUGCAUAAAUUUUGGUACUUUUACCUUUAUUCUGUUUUAUCACAUAAUUAAAUAUCUUGCAUUGGGAAAGAAUCCGGUUGAAAGAAAUGUUUUAAGUGCAGGUUUAUUUGCAGUCAGGUUGUGUAGAAAAGCCUUCACUGAAAUCUCUUCUGCAGUUCACCUCUCUUCCAUUUUCCUGUGAGGAAGCUCCUCUUUGGCAGCAUACUUGGUGUGAUAUCAGUAUCAUUCUCCCACUUCCCACCUGUAAAUGCUAUGCCAUCAAAUGGCGGCUUCACUUCGCAUGUUCUAAGAGACGAUGUUCUUUUUAACUCCAAAGUUGACUGGAAGACCAUUACAACUUCAGAAUGUUCACAGCAUCUUCAACACUGUUAAAACUGACUUGGACACCACAAAAACGAAGGGAAACUGAUGCCUUUCCUACACAAAGAAGAGCACAAUUGUUUAUCACCUAGUUAAAGGAUCUCCUGUGGUAUCAAUUCAGAAACUUGUGCAUUCCUCCUUGGACCAUUUUAUGUUACCUUGAAAGAGAAAACACUAUCAUCCCAUGCAAAUGUGUGUGUCUUGAAGCAAAUGUUGGAGUAUAAUUGUACAAAUUUAACUUUUUUUUUUAAGAAUUCUAUUCUGAUGGUUUAUUAUUCUCAGAGGAGAGAAUAUGCAGAUGUAAGAAGCUUGGAUCAUAUUACACAAGCAGGUUUCAAAAUGUGUUUAUAUACUAUCAGUUUUGUUUUCAUUACAGGCUUUGCACAUGAAGAAGCUUUGCCUUGACUAAUACGCUGUUAGCUCUCCAAGCACGUUAUGGAUGCUCAUUCCAGUACAAAAAGUUAUCAAGUCACUUGCUUAACCCCCUUAAUUCUUGUACAUGCCUUUUGACUUUGGGUUGGAAGUUAUGGGGUAGCAGGUAGGUGCUAAGAUAAAUGGGGUUUGUCUAAACAUUAGAGGUAGAAUUUAUUAUUGUUUCUUUACUUUUUUUUUUUUUUUGAGGGGGGAGGGGGGAUGAAACGCCUCACCUGGCUAAAUAUUCACUUCUUUUGCUUGGGACUGCAGCUGCAACUCUGUGAAUGAAAUGUACAAAUCAGUGUCUGAAAAUAAUGGUCUGUUUUUAAGUUAAGACAUUUAAUUUUGUCUGUCAUUAGUUAAUUUAGAAGUGCAUGCUGUAGACUUGCUUUCAAUGGUGUGAAAGUCUUUUUUUUCUGACAAGGAGAGAAACCUAUUGAUUGAACUUAUUAGAAGUCUCCCCCUGUUUGUUUUUGUUUGUUUUUUUUUGUUGUUGAUGCAAACUACAUCAUAUGCUAAUACUGGUAAUGCUAUGCACCAGAGUGAGUAUGACUAGAACGACUUAAUAUUGACUCCAUACUUAGUGUAAAUUAAUGCUUACCAGUUCUAUUAAUGCCAAUUUUUGUAACUAUAACAAUCAUUGUGAAAAUUCUGUCCUUUCUCUCCUUAAGAUGUAUUCGCUGAAUGGAACAAACACCUCACAUACUGUCCACAAAGAAAACUUUUGUAUAUUUUUCCCCCCUUUUGUCUUAAAUUGAGAAUUGGAAAAUCUAAAUAAUUCACUGUAUAGAGAAGCACUUUUGUUAAAGUUGUGGCAUACUUUCACUUUACUUUUUUCUGAGAUGAUGUACAAUAAAUGUGACGUAUACAUGUGGCCACAAGUGAAAAUGCAAUUUAACAGAGAUGGAUUCCUUUUUCCUCUUUCCAUUAAUAUUAUAGAGCUCUGCACCCUUAUGUAUCUUUUCACUUUUUGUAUUUCAUUUCAGUCUGUUGGUGUUCCACGGUGAGCUGGAUGCAAGAUAGAUACUGUACUAAAUUGUACUGUUAUUGAUUGAAACUGUAAUAAAAAAGCUGAGAUCUCAAGCUGUUGAGAUGGAUCCCAA